GCCCAGACUCCUACGGGAGGCAGCAGUGGGGAAUAUUGCACAAUGGGGGAAACCCUGAUGCAGCGACGCCGCGUGAGUGAAGAAGUAUUUCGGUAUGUAAAGCUCUAUCAGCAGGGAAGAUAAUGACGGUACCUGACUAAGAAGCCCCGGCUAACUACGUGCCAGCAGCCGCGGUAAUACGUAGGGGGCAAGCGUUAUCCGGAUUUACUGGGUGUAAAGGGAGCGUAGGUGGCAGGGCAAGUCAGAUGUGAAAACCCGGGGCUCAACCCCAGGACUGCAUUGGAAACUGUUAGGCUGGAGUGUCGGAGAGGGAAGCGGAAUUCCUAGUGUAGCGGUGAAAUGCGUAGAUAUUAGGAGGAACACCAGUGGCGAAGGCGGCUUACUGGACGACAACUGACGCUGAGGCUCGAAAGCGUGGGGAGCAAACAGGAUUAGAUACCCCGGUAAAA
rnacentral:rRNA from 1 species